AUGCCUAUAAUUAACCUUCUCCUACUCAUCAUUCCUACUCUAAUCACUAUAGCAUUCCUUACACUCACUGAACGGAAAAUCUUAGGCUAUAUACAACUACGCAAAGGACCUGACAUUGUAGGUCCCUAUGGACUGCUUCAACCAUUCACUGAUGCAGUAAAACUUCACCAAAGAACCCUUAUGGCCCUCAACAUCUACUAUUACCCUUUAUAUUAUUGCUCCAACCCUGGCCCUUUCUAUCAUUGUCCUCUUGUGAGCUCCCCUCCCUAUACCAGAUCCUCUAAUUAAUUUUAAUAUAGGCCUCCUAUUUAUACUAGCCACAUCAAGCCUAGCCGUCUACUCUAUUCUAUGAUCAGGAUGAGCAUCUAAUUCAAAUUAUGCACUAAUCGGCGCAUUACGAGCUGUGGCCCAGGCAAUUUCAUAUGAGGUCACCCUAGCCAUCAUCCUGCUGUUAAUUCUACUGAUAAGUGGCUCAUUUAACUUAUAUGCACUCAUCACAACACAAGAAUUCCUCUGACUGCUCCUACCAUCAUGCCGCCUAGUCAUAAUAUAAUUUAUCUCCCCACUAGCAGAAACUAACCGAGCCCCUUUUGACCUAACAGAAGGAGAGUCAGAGUUAGUCUCGGGCUUCAACAUUGAAUAUGCCACAGGUUCAUUUGCCCUCUUCUUUAUGGCAGAAUACAUGAAUAUUAUCUUAAUAAGUGCCCUAACUACUACUAUUUUCCUAGGAGCACUACACACUAUAUAUUCACCAGAACUCUAUACCACAAAUUUCAUUAUCAAGACCCUCGUUCUAACCGCCCUGAUUUUAUGAAUUCGAACAGCAUACCCCUGACUGUGCUACAACCAACUCAUAUAUCUCCUAUGAAAAAACUUCCUACCACUUAAACUAGCAUUCUGCAUAUGUUAUAUGGCCUGUCCUAAUUUCCAGCAUUCCACCUCAAACAUAG
rnacentral:lncRNA from 1 species